rnacentral:rRNA from 1 species
GAUAGACCGCAACAAGUCUCUUGGAACAGAGCGUCAUAGUGGUGAGAACCCAGUACACGAUGCGGAUGCCUAUUACUUUGUGAUACACUUUCGAAGAGUCGAGUUGUUUGGGAAUGCAGCUCAAAUUGGGUGGUAAAUUCCAUCUAAAGCUAAAUAUUGGCGAGAGACCGAUAGCGAACAAGUACCGUGAGGGAAAGAUGAAAAGCACUUUGGAAAGAGAGUUAACAGUACGUGAAAUUGUUGGAAGGGAAACACAUGCAGUGAUACUUGCUAUUCGGGGCAACUCGAUUGGCAGGCCCGCAUCAGUUUUCCGGGGCGGAAAAGCAUAGAGAGAAGGUAGCAGUUUCGGCUGUGUUAUAGCUCUUUAUUGGAUUCGCCCUGGGGGAUUGAGGAACGCAGCGUGCUUUUU